AAUGAACGCUGGCGGCGCGCCUAAUACAUGCAAGUCGAGCGAGAAGACGUAGCAAUACGUUUGUAAAGCGGCGAACGGGUGAGGAAUACAUGGGUAACCUACCCUAGAGUGGGGAAGUAACUAGCCGAAAGGUUAAGCUAAUACCGCGUACGCUCCUUGGACUUCGGUUCAGGGAGGAAAGCGAUGCCGAGGGUAUCGCGCUCUUGGAUGGGCUCAUGUCCUAUCAGCUUGUUGGUGAGGUAACGGCUCACCAAGGCUUCGACGGGUAGCUGGUCUGAGAGGACGAUCAGCCACACUGGGACUGAGACACGGCCCAGACUCCUACGGGAGGCAGCAGUGGGGAAGUCUUGCGCAAUGGGCGAAAGCCUGACGCAGCGACGCCGCGUGAGGGAUGACGGCC
rnacentral:rRNA from 1 species